rnacentral:lncRNA from 1 species
GCAGUUAAAUCAUAGGUCGCCUUGAGCAUUAGGGUCAAAGGGAUGAAUUAUACGAUAACCAUAUACCAGUAGGUUCUAGAAUGUUGCUUUGCAAUCUUUUGGGCUAUCCGGACGUCGGAUCCCAUUGCUAGAUUAUUAUAUUGAUUAGUAUAAGAAGUUAUUUUUAUACUAUCAACUUAGGUUCGAACCUAUGGGGUCACACACAUUAGAAGAUAUGGUCUGAUA